rnacentral:rRNA from 1 species
UACGGGGGGAGCAAGCGUUGUUCGGAUUUACUGGGCGUAAAGGGCGCGUAGGCGGCGCAACAAGUCACUUGUGAAAUCUCCGGGCUUAACCCGGAGCGGCCAAGUGAUACUGUCGUGCUAGAGUGCGGAAGGGGCUACUGGAAUUCUCGGUGUAGCGGUGAAAUGCGCAGAUAUCAGGAGGAACACCGGUGGCGAAGGCGGGUCUCUGGGCCGAUACUGACGCUGAGGAGCGAAAGCGUGGGGAGCGAAACAGGG